GUGAAUCAUCGAAUCUUUGAACGCAAAUUGCACUCCCUGGUACUCCGGGGAGUAUGCCUGUUUGAGGGUCGUUAGAAUAACAAAUCGAGGCGUCGCUCUUUUUUUUAAGUGUGAUCGCGUCGGAAUUGAGCCGUCUUUCAAAUGUUAAUUCAUGUCAAAUUGGCUUAAAAUUCAUCCAUCCGGUACGACUAAAGCAUAUUUAAGAUCAACUUUGAUUAAGAACGCGCGAUGACGUACCAUCUCAUGUAGUACAUUUUACUUGGCGUCGUCAUGAUCAUUCGUAUACGAUACUCCAACUUUU
rnacentral:misc_RNA from 1 species